rnacentral:rRNA from 1 species
AUGUCGUCGGAAUCGGAUGAUGCUAGUGCGCCGGAGUGGGGAUCGGAGGAUGAGGAUGACGAUGACGAGAUAGCUGCACAGGGGGCAGCCGCAGCGACUUUGGCGGCGGGGUUACCGAUCAAGCUCGUGAUCGACACCAAGACUCAGAAGGUGCGGUUCGCCGAGGCCGGAAGCGACGUCGUGGAGUUCCUCACCGGCCUCCUGUCCCUGCCGCUGGGCACCGUCGUCGACCUGCUGACCAAGGAGCGCAUGGUCGGCAGCAUCGGCAACGUCCCCGGCAGCGUGGAGAAGAUGGACGCCGGCUACAAGGGCAAGGAGCGGCGCCUCAGCCCGGCCGUCACCCCCGCCGCGCUCUCCCGCCUGCAGCAGCUGCUGAGCGCGCACCUCAUCAACGGCCGAACCUGCUGCCAUUGCACCAGUUCCACGUACAAUGCUGCCGCCGCGGGAACAUCCACGACGCCGUCGCUACCCACGGCCACGUACACUGUCGGGGACGACCUCUCGGUGACUCCGGCUUCUUUUUUCACGACCAUGUCGCUUCUGGGCAUCGCGCAGUUCGCACAAUUUGGUGGCGAGGACCUCAGCACGCUGCAGGAGAAAACCGUGAAGAUCGGCAAGGAAGAGGCGCUGAGGAUACUCGCUGCUUCCCUCCAGUCCAAGACCGUGCUGACGGAUGUCUUCCUCAAGAGUCAAGAGUGA